rnacentral:rRNA from 1 species
CAUCACUCAAGUGCCUCGCACUGAGUGAUGCAAUAACAUCACCGAAAAUAGCGCCGAAUUUGCUAACAAGGUUGGUCGAUUUUUUCAAGCCGUCGCGCAGUGUACCUAGAAGUACACGAGCAACGGAAGUUAAAAAAUCGGGCAAGAUUGAACGCAAAGGCAAGCGGGACAUUUGAGGAUGGGGUGACUGCGUACCUUUUGUAUAAUGGGUCAGCGACUUAUAUUCUGUAGCGAGGUUAACCGUAUAGGGGAGCCGUAGGGAAACCGAGUCUUAACUGGGCGAAUGAGUUGCAGGGUAUAGACCCGAAACCCGGUGAUCUAUCCAUGGGCAGGUUGAAGGUUGGGUAACACUAACUGGAGGACCGAACCGACUAAUGUUGAAAAAUUAGCGGAUGACUUGUGGAUGGGGGUGAAAGGCCAAUCAAACCGGGAGAUAGCUGGUUCUCCCCGAAAGCUAUUUAGGUAGCGCCUCGUGAACUCAUCUUCGGGGGUAGAGCACUGUUUCGACUAGGGGGUCAUCCCGACUUACCAACUCGAUGCAAACUGCGAAUACCGAAGAAUGUUAUCACGGGAGACACACGGCGGGUGCUAACGUCCGUCGUGAAGAGGGAAACAACCCAGACCGCCAGCUAAGGUCCCAAAGUCAUGGUUAAGUGGGAAACGAAGUGGGAAGGCUCAGACAGCCAGGAUGUUGGCUUAGAAGCAGCCAUCAUUUAAAGAAAGCGUAAUAGCUCACUGGUCGAGUCGGCCCGCGCGGAAGAUGUAACGGGGCUAAACCAUGCAC